rnacentral:tRNA from 1 species
GGGAUUGUGGCUUAGUGGUAGAGUGCUUGUCUAGCAUGCAUGAAGGCCUGGGUUCGAUUUCUCAGUACCA